CCGGCAGUCUGUUCAACUGCAGACUUCGGCACAUUAUUCUCUGCCUGCCUUCCUCGAAACCUAAUGGGAAGCUGCUGCUUGAAGUUAGACCUAACCCCAGUCCGAACGCUCAUGUCAAGCUACUCCCUUGUGAGUCCUUCCAAAGACUACUGAAUCAUACAUACCCAACCUCUGUGGCCUUACCUUCUCCUCCUUGUGUCAUUAAACCCACCUUCCUCAGUGAGUACUUAUAUCCCUCUGCCCACUUCACCACCGAGUACACGUCUCAAGUAGUUCCCUGGGUCUCCUUUGUCUCACCUUCUCUUUGAUGAUGUUCCAAGGCUUUCUUAGCUGAGGUGAUGAUUGUGGUCUGAAGCCGGAGGAUGGACGAUAAGGACUCAAUAGCCUCCUUGGAUCCUACGGCGGUGCAGGAAGUCAUGCCUAUUUCCGCCGUCACCGACGUCGUCAGAAGUUGGAUUAAAGGUCAAGGGACGCUAGCGUUCCAUGGUCGUUUUAUCUUCGGAUGCAGGAGUUGGUCUUUGUCGAUGUUAUCUAAUAUUUCUUGUUAGUUCUGGAAUGGUGUUAUCCCAUCUGAGCUUUUCUCGCUUCCCGACUAUCCUUCUUCAAACCCCACACCACUGCCCGCAAGAUCAACUGUUCUUGACCUUGUAAGACCUUUUCUUGAUCUUGUAAGGCCCAAUUCUCCAUCUGUUUUCCUCGUCGUCUGCUUCAUCUUCAUCGUCUCCUCACUCGACGUGGAACGAGUCAAUGCAAACUAUCUUCCUCUCUUCUCGCUCCUCUUCUGCCCUCCCCUCCUCUCUAUCCCUCCUGAGCUAUUUCACCAGAUGUGCUU